CGGGGUGUAGCGCAGCCUGGUAGCGCGCUUCGUUCGGGACGAAGAAGGGGGAGGUUCGAAUCCUCUCAUCGCGACCA
rnacentral:tRNA from 1 species